AUUUAAGCUGCACCACAAUCUUGGUACAGAAAGCAAAAUCACUGGAGUAACAUCCAUUUGAAGAGUCGGUGCCAAGUCAGCUGCAGGUCAGUUGGCCUCUCUGCUUCUGGAGUUUGGAUGGCUACAGGCUGAGGUACCCAGGCAGCUGACCACAUGUCUCUCAUCAUCCAGCAGAAAUAUAUGGGUUUUUUUCAUAUGGCAGUGGAGGGAUUUCAAGGGGAAAAUUAAAAAACAGAAGUGUGGAAAGUUU